CAGCGUGAUUUAUGUAUGACUCGGCUGAUUCUUUUCUAGGUUGCUGAUGGUGUGGGUGUUCGACGGCCACGUUUGGAACAUGAAACUUCUGGACCCCGACGUUUUCACGUCGUUCUCUUUAGCGUCCCUCACGGAACUUCCGGCCGCUGUUCUACUCGCCUUUUUCCUCGACAGAUGGGGCAGACGAUGGAUGGGUUUCGCAUCGAUGUUCCUCUGUGGCAUUUUCUCCUUCGUUGCCAUCGCUACCCCCUCUGGUUCGACAAUGGUUGCCAUGGCGAUUAUAGCGCGUCUUGGGGUGAAUAUCGCCGCGAAUAUUGGUUUUCAAUAUGCAGCGGAAAUACCGCCGACUGUGGUGAGAGCUCAGGGCGUGUUUUUAAUCCAUAUCAUCGGUUAUAUCGCCCACAUUUUGGGACCUUACAUUAUUUAUCUGAUAAGUGAAUCGAAAUUUUUGUUAACGACAUCGUAUUUCUACGAUCCGAAAAUUACUCAACCUCUUUUUUAAUUUACGACUAAUAUUAUCUGUUAUUGAAAUACGUUUAUUUAAGUUGGUUUAAUUUGUAGAAAAAUUAUGUUCCUUGUCGGCCAUGGAUUCUUCUUGCGAUCUUACGAAUCACGGAAACAAGAUAGAUUUUCGAUAUAUUUUCCUCCGUUUCGUUUUUUUGCGAAGGAAAUGUAACUUUUCUAUUGUUUGUAAUUAUUUACAGGUUUGCGAUACUACACUAUAGCUUCGUUUCUAAAUGAAACGAAUGUUUACAAAAUCUCGUUAUACAGGUAACAUCAAUGAUCCUUUGUAUAUUGACAACUUCUUCAAAUUCUGUCUUUAACCAAUAUUCUUUAUUAAUAUUUAAAAGAAUAUUAAGUAUACAGAAAAUACGAAGAGGAAUAUUUGCGAGGACACUCUUGAUUAAUGUGCUGACAUUGAUCCAUCUUUAUCGCUGGUUACCCUCGGUUUGCUGUCUUUUGGACACGCCUUCCUGACCCUUGGCUUGCCAGAAACGUUGAACCAGGAAUUACCAGAAACCCUACAGGAGGGUAACGACUUCGGCAAGGAACAAAGUUUCUGGUGGGUUCCGUGUAUAUCCUCGAGCAAAAUGCUGAAAAAAUCUUAUAGAAAGAAGAAAGGCCUUUCAAAUCCAGCGUUUACUGGCAGUGUUCAAAAAAUGGAUUGUACUAGGUUAUAGUGGUUAGAUUUGGCGACGGCGCGAAACUUGCCAGUAGGGUAAAACUUACCAGUGGCAUGAAACUUGUCAAUGGCAUGAAACUUGUCAAUGACAUGAAACUUGUCAGUGACAUGAAAUUGCCAGUGGCGUGAAACUUGCCAAAUUUGUUGUAAAUAUAGUUAUUAAACGUGUGCGUGUGAUGUUAGAUGUUAAGAUAUUACGAACGUAUUGAGAUUGGAGAGCUAUUGAGAGAAACUAGGAGGAAGUAUCGAUUAUUGCAGUGAAAGAGACAAGAAUCGUCAAAUUACACAAAGUAUACGUUUAAGCAAUUAAUUGACGCUUCAUCGAUGAAGUAGCUUUGUUGCACACAAGAUAAUUUUCUUUAAAGUGUAUCUUUUUUCAAUUGGAAUGACUGUAUAAAAAUGUGAAGAAAUUUAAAGAAUUAAGAACGCGGCAUUUAAAGUACGUUGCGUUCACAUAUUGCGAUGUAAUUAUUUCGCGUACUAUAACGUCGGUAAAGUGUUGGAAAUGAGAAACGAUUCAAGUAUCUUAUGUAAAUGUACAAUUAAAUUCAGUAUUGGAUAUAUGUAUUAAAGGAAGCGAUAUAUAAGGAAAUAAUAUACCAUAGUAUUUAUGCAUCUUACGCUUUAAAAAUCGAAAAGAAAGAUCUAUAUCUUUUUCUUCUUGCUCUUUUUUUUCUUUUCUCGUUGAAGGAAUACUCUAGUUGAAUUGAUUUAACUAUGAAAUACAGUGAAUAACAAAGGAUUGCCACGAGACUCGAAACACAAAAAGAGAGCUGUCUCCGCGCAUUGUCAAGCUUUCAACUUGUCUCCUUUAUUACGAAUCGCCUUUGUAUCAAUAUAGGUGAUUCAUAAAUCGCCGACACUUGAAAUGAGAGUUUCGAUCGACUUUUAAACCGAAGUGUAUUUUGCGUUCGCUCGAUCAACGUGGCUUUUUUUCAUCAUCCAUUUAUGCAUCAACACGUUGAAUGCUUUGAAAACUCUGAGAUCUCUGUUAUUUAAUUUAAAUAUAUACAUACAUAUAUAUA